AAAUCCUGAGAGCAAAACAGGCUUAUUGUCAGAAAUAAUGCAAACUGAAAGACAGUGUAGAGACAUCUUUAAAGUCCUGAAAGAAAAGAAGAACUAGCAACUGAUAUUUCUAUAUCCAGCCAAAAUAUAUUUUAAAGAAGAAGAAAGAAAGGACCUUCUCAGACUACAAGAACUGAGAGAAGUUAUUGCCAUGGGGCCUACUCAAUAAGAAAUGUCAGAGAAAGUUCUUCAAGCACCAAGAUUAUGACAUCAGGCUCAAAUCUGAAUCCACACAAAGAAAAAAGGACUCUGGAAAUGGAAUAACUGAAUAAAGUUAAAAUAAAAUUCAUCUUUCUUAUUUUUAAUUGUUCUAAAAGAAAACAGACUGUCAAAAAAAACAGUCUUAGUGGCAAUGUAUUCUGUUUUUGUUUGGUAAAAUGAAAGGUGAGAGAAGACAGCCUGAGGGGCUGGGCUCUGAAUGUGUCCCUCAAACGCACAGGAUGAAACUGAUUCAUUUGUGGGACAAUAGGAAGAGGUCGGGAUUUGGGGUGACGUGCCCUCAUGUGUUAAGUGGGGACUUAAGAACCUCAUAAAUGUUGUGGGAAGCCACCUCCUUCCCUCUGCCCUUUCCCCUCUGACUUUGUCUUGUUGAGUCGCAGGGGUCUGGCGCCCACUUGAAAGCAGAGAGAAGUUUUCACCACAUCCCAAACCUGCUGGCCCCUUGAUCUCGAACUUCUCAGCUUUCAGAAUUGUAAGAAAUAAAUUGAUUAUUUAUGGUACCCAACUUGAAGUAUUCUGUUUAUUGCAGCAGCUCAAACGAAUGAAAACAUGAUGGAAUGGAAAAGUUAAGAAUUUAACUGGGGUUGUCAUUGUAGCUCAGGAGUGGAGCGUUUGCCUAGCAUGGGUGAGGCACUGGGUUUGACCCCUGGCACCACAUAAAAAUAAAAACAAAUAAAAUAUAGGUAUUGUGUCCAUCGAC
rnacentral:lncRNA from 1 species